rnacentral:tRNA from 1 species
AUUUAUAUAGUUUAAUAAUAAAACAUUAUAUUUUCAUUAUAAAGAAAAACAUUUUGUUUUAUAAAUU